GGGGGUGUAGCAUAAUGGUUAUGCAAAGAGACUUUCAUGGCUGAGGCUCUCAGUCCCGGGUUCAAUCCCCCACACCGCCA
rnacentral:tRNA from 1 species